GGGCCUAUAGCUCAGUUGGUUAGAGCGCACGCCUGAUAAGCGUGAGAUCGGCUGUUUGAGUCAGCCUAGGCCCGCCA
rnacentral:tRNA from 1 species